CCCUAGAUGCAUCAUCCAUGCAAGUUUGAUUCAGGAAGGGCUUAUAGGCUUAUAGUUCCUUGGGAAUAGACCUGCUCCAAAAACUUUAACCUGGUCACUCAUCUGGAAAAUGUAGGUCAGAUCCAGCAUCCGAAGCAAGUCUGGUAGUGUACAUUCAUAGAUGCAUCAUCCAUGCAAGUUUAGUCUGGGUAGGGCUUAUAAUUCCUUGGGAAUGGACCUGCUCCAAAACUUUAACCUGGUCACUCAUCUGGAAAAUGUAGGUCGGAUCCAGCAUCCGAAGCAAGUCUGGUAGUGUACAUUCCUAGAUGCAUCAUCCAUGCAAGUUUGGUUCAGAUAGGGCUAAUAGUUACUUGGGAAUGGACUUGCUCCUAAAACUUUAACCUGGGACGCCGACGCCAACGCCGGGGGUAUAGCAUAAGCUCAUCUCGACUUCGUCGAGGGCUUAUAGUUCCUGAGGAAUGGACCUGCUCCAAAAACUUUAACCUGGUCACUCAUCUAGACAAUGUAGAUCAGAUCCAGCAUCCAAAGCAAGUCUGGUAGUGUACAUCCCUAGAUGCAUCAUCCAUGCA